AUCUGAGACUAUAUAUGGAAUCACAGAGAAAUCUUGUUCACAGCUAUGUUUUUUCAUAAUUUUGUAUUGAGCUCAUGCCUUGUAUCUCACUAUCCACAAAAGUGCUAACUGUAUAUGCAUGUUUCAUAUAUCCAAAAAAUGAAUGGAUUUCUAGCCACUUAUGCUUGUCAAUUACUAUUUGUUUUUACAUUUUCAUGGAUUGCAUAAAGGCCUAUCUUUUUAACUCUUCUUCAAAUUUCAUAUCACUAAUGUGUUGUAUCCUGCUGUUUGCAUCCUCUCCAGUAAAACGUUUCAGUCCUCUCAUGGCUGACAUAUCGAGACCACUAGUAUUUUGAAAAGACCUCCAAAUGGUACUCCCUUUGGAUGUUCUUAGCAGCCAACCUCCAAAGAUCUCAAACUAGUUAAUAAUUGGGUUCCUAAAGUUACAUCUGGGAAUUGUUCCUAGUUCUUUCAAAGCAACCCAUAAUUUACUGAUCAAUGGCUUAACAACAAAGAGGAGAUAUGGGAAGGCUUUGUAGACUUUUUCCAAGCUGCUUUCUCUAAAGAGUUUGUGUCUAGGCCCUUGCUUACUGGGGUUCCUUCCGAUUCCAUUUCUGAGCAAGCAGAUGAGCUAGACCAUAACUCCAGUGAAGGUGAAGUUGCUGCCACCAUCUCUGAGGUCAACGGGCGUCAGGCCCCUGGACUUGAUGGAUUCCCAUUGCUCUAUCAGAUGUAAAUGGUGCAGCUGGAUCAAGGCUUGUAUUAUCACCCCUUGGUUCUCGGCCUGCUGAAUUGAACCCCGAAAUGAUUCUGGCUCAAUUCACAGAUGACAUUCUGCUAUUUGGGAAUGGCUUGUCGGAGGAUGUGCAUAGUCUUAUAGAGACAUCAACUUCGAGGCAGUGUCUGCUGUCCGGUUUGAAAGUGAAUCUGGUAAAAACUAAUAUCUCAGGAAUUAAUUUGGGCAGCUCCACCCUUAUAGAUAUUGUGUUAGAUGCUCGCUAUGGGGUUGUGGAGCUCGCCAUCAAGAGGUUGGGUAUGGGGUAGCUGAGCUUCCUAUCAAACAGGUGCAUGCCUGUGCUAUGGUAGAUGUGGGAUGGAAAUUUGGGAUAUUGUCAUUGAGAAGCUUAAUAGAACUUGGUACAUGGAACAACAAAUUCCUUCACCUUGGGUCACAGAGUAACCUGCAUCAUGUCAGUGUUGUGACUGUUGUCCUCCUCGACGUACCUUUUGUUCUUAAUCCAUUGCCUCCAGAAAGCUGCGGUUAGUAUUGAGAAGAUACAAAAGCAAUUCUUAUGGAAUGACCAGGAGGUUGCUCAUAAGUCUCAUCUGGUAGCUUGGGGAGACAUGUGCAAACCUUCCUGCCACGAGGGCCUUGGCUUUAGAAGCAUUAGACUGAUGAAUCUCUCUCUGUAAAGUGGGGAACUAUUUUUGCUUAGAAGCAUCCCGAUUGGUAAAUACAGUGCCUCUGACAAUAGUUGGAAUGUUGGGGUGGCAUCUAGGAGUGUGGGUUCUCAUAUCUGGUGAGAUAUCUCUUAGGCCAGGAUUUUUGCAUAAAUAACAUGCGUUUUGGGAUGUUUUUCAGCAUUUGAACCUGUUUUUGGGAGGGCGUGAUGAUUGCCCCCUCUUGGAGAGAGUAGAAGUUGAGAGAUUAAUGCUCUAUUAGAUUGAAAGAGUAGAGCAUGGACGUAUGCUUCAGAAAGAAGGAAAAGUGGUUUGGUGGCUAGCGGUUAUGGCUGUUCUAUGGGUCGUAUGGGGGGGAGUGUAACAGACGAUGCUUUGAGAAGGAGGAAUCAGAUUAUUGGGUUAUCCGAAGGGCAAAGUCCUUGGUGUUAGAUUGGGCUCCUGCGUUCUUCUCGCCUUGCUAGGAUUGUAGUUCUGUUUGUAUUCUUUUCUGGCCCUUUGGCCUGCUUUUUAAAUAAAAUUGUUAAUUCUCAAAAAAAAAAAAAAAAAAAAAAAGAGUAGAGGAAGGAGAAGAGGAGAAAAGAAAGAAAGAUGGGGAAAAGAAAUGUAUUAGGGCUACAGCCCCUUUCUUAUUCCUUUUAUAAGACUUCUAACAAAAUGACAAUAACACCCUAAAAUAUUAAAGUUACAUAUAAACCCUUAAAAUCUCAUGUCUCAACACUCCCCCUCAAGAUUGGCAUAUAUAUCUUUCUACUUGGUAUUACACUUGUAGCAGCAGAGAGAAGUUGACAUUUUUUGGUGACCGCUGCUGACGCUAGCAUGCUGUAUGGGCGACGUUAGCACCUGUGCUGAUGGGGUUUUGAGGCAAAAUACAUUCUUCCAAUAUAUCUACAUCUCAGCAGAACAUUGAUGAUUUUUUCAAGAUUUUUGGGGUAGUUUUGGGCACAGAUAUCUUUGUACUUGGUAUUACACUCGUAGCAGCAGAGAGAAGUUGACUUUUUUGGAGACCGUUGCUGAUGCUAGCAUGCUGUAUAUGUCUGACGUUGGCACCUGCACUGAUGGGGUUUUGAGGAAAAAGCACUCUACAUCUCAGCAGAACAUUGAUGAUUUUUUUCAAGAUUUUUGGGGUAGUUUUUGUUGGCAUAGAAAUCUUUGUACUUGGUAUUCCACUUAUAGCAGCAGAGAGAAGUCAACAUUUUUUGGGGACCGUUGCUGAUGCUAGCAUGCUGUAUGGCUGACGUUGGCACCUACUAAUGGGCUUUUGAGGAAAAAGUACAUUUUCCAAAAUAUCUACAUCUCAGCAGAACAUUGAUGAUUUUUUUUUUCAAGAUUUUUGGGGUAGUUUUAUUGGUUUCUGAAAUAGAGAAAAAUUCCAGAAAAAUCUGUUUUCAGUUUCUUGCUUUUACAGAUCAAAUUGGGAUUUUUUGCAGGCAUCAGCUGUUCAUAUAUGGUCUGUUUGAUAAUUUCAGACCUUUGGGAAGUGGAAUCGUGAAUAUUCAUUGAGUAUUGAAGAUUUGGUGAUGAUUUUUUUUCCCUCUAGUUUUACUGUUUAGGGGCUUUUUUCAACUU